CAGAGUCAAGGGCACCACCGGGAUGGCAGAGUGAAGUUCUGCAUGAAACCUCCUGACAAGAGAGAGAGCCGCCUCCCGAGACAGACAGGGGUUCAACACCCAUAGAGUGUUCACAGCCACAACAGUGACAACCCCUUAUAGCAGUCAUGUUGUCAUCCUCUAGCAGCCUCCAUUCAAGUGACGACAGACAUGGGACAUUACAACAUGACCAGUAUAACACUACCAAUAACAAUAUGCAAG